UUAUGGCUCAGGAUGAACGCUAGCUACAGGCUUAACACAUGCAAGUCGAGGGGCAGCAUUGGGAUAGCUGCUAUCCAGAUGGCGACCGGCGCACGGGUGAGUAACGCGUAUCCAACCUUCCCUAUAGUAGAGAAUAGCCCGGCGAAAGUCGGAUUAAUGCUCUAUGUUGUGUUUUGAGGACAUCUGACGAACACCAAAGGUUCACCGCUAUAGGAUGGGGAUGCGUCUGAUUAGCUUGUUGGCGGGGUAACGGCCCACCAAGGCGACGAUCAGUAGGGGUUCUGAGAGGAAGGUCCCCCACAUUGGUACUGAGACACGGACCAAACUCCUACGGGAGGCAGCAGUGAGGAAUAUUGGUCAAUGGGCGAGAGCCUGAACCAGCCAAGUAGCGUGCAAGGAUGACUGCCCUAUGGGUUGUAAACUGCUUUUAUCAGGGAAUAAAGUGCGGCACGUGUGCCGUUUUGUAUGUACCUGAUGAAUAAGGACCGGCUAAUUCCGUGCCAGCCGCCGC
rnacentral:rRNA from 1 species